AGCGGCGAGCGAACGGGGAGCAGCCCAGAGCCUGAAUCAGUGUGUGUGUUAGUGGAAGCGUCUGGAAAGGCGCGCGAUACAGGGUGACAGCCCCGUACACAAAAAUGCACAUAUUGUGAGCUCGAUGAGUAGGGCGGGACACGUGGUAUCCUGUCUGAAUAUGGGGGGCCCAUCCUCCAAGGCUAAAUACUCCUGACUGACCGAUAGUGAACCAGUACCGUGAGGGAAAGGCGAAAAGAACCCCGGCGAGGGGAGUGAAAAAGAACCUGAAACCGUGUACGUACAAGCAGUGGGAGCACGCUUAGGCGUGUGACUGCGUACCUUUUGUAUAAUGGGUCAGCGACUUAUAUUCUGUAGCAAGGUUAACCGAAUAGGGGAGCCGAAGGGAAACCGAGUCUUAACUGGGCGUUAAGUUGCAGGGUAUAGACCCGAAACCCGGUGAUCUAGCCAUGGGCAGGUUGAAGGUUGGGUAACACUAACUGGAGGACCGAACCGACUAAUGUUGAAAAAUUAGCGGAUGACUUGUGGCUGGGGGUGAAAGGCCAAUCAAACCGGGAGAUAGCUGGUUCUCCCCGAAAGCUAUUUAGGUAGCGCCUCGUGAAUUCAUCUCCGGGGGUAGAGCACUGUUUCGGCA
rnacentral:rRNA from 1 species